UGUGUUUCUUGAUGCAUUCCACAGUUUAUUAUAUACUUUAAAUGCACCAAGAAUCACGAU
rnacentral:pre_miRNA from 2 species